UACGAAGGGGGCUAGCGUUGUUCGGAAUUACUGGGCGUAAAGCGUAUGCAGGCGGAUCAUUAAGUCGGGGGUGAAAUCCCGAGGCUCAACCUCGGAACUGCCUUCGAUACUGAUGAUCUUGAGUCCGGGAGAGGUGAGUGGAACUGCGAGUGUAGAGGUGAAAUUCGUAGAUAUUCGCAAGAACACCAGUGGCGAAGGCGGCUCACUGGCCCGGUACUGACGCUGAGGCACGAAAGCGUGGGGAGCAAACAGG
rnacentral:rRNA from 1 species